rnacentral:lncRNA from 1 species
CAUUUAUAAAAUGAGAUAUUUUCCAUCAAUUGAAUAAUUUGAUUUAUGUUUUAGGGAUACAACAAGUAUGCAAGUCCCUAGAUAUAAAUGAACAGAGAAAAUUAUUGAGGAGAUCAUUGGGGAAAAAACUUAACAAAGGAAAUGUACUUUUCUAUAAGGAGGAGAAGUGAAAGAAGCAGGUAUUAUAUACUUGAUUAACUUAAUUUGGCUGUAACAAUCAAACCAUUGAGAUAAAUGUCUAUAUAUUUCAAUAAAUCAGCACGUAAACAAACAACAAAAUCAGUAGAGGCAUCUGUUAGUUAAUACAAAGACAUCAAUAUAAGUGUCAAUACAAAUGUCAAAACAAAUGUCAAAAAAAGAGGAAGUGGUAUGAUUACCAAUGAGACAACUCUACUCAAGAGACCAAAGGAUACAGGCAUUAAUAACUAUUGAUUUGGCCUUCAACGAUGAGUAAAACCUGUAAUGCAUAGUCAUCUUUAAGUUUAAUAAAUAUAUAAAAUACCACAGAAUGACAAAUAUGUAAAAUAAUUUGACUGUUUGAAUAUUAUGUACAUGUAUCAUAGAUAGCCAAAAAAUCUGUUUUUAAAAAUGACAAAAAGUGACUGGCGGUUAGAGAUAUAAAUAAAGGCUAUAUAUAUUAACUUGUCCAUGCAACCUCAUUAUGUACAUAAGGAGGCCCAAGAGUACUAGUAUGAUUGUUUUUGUCUCAUCAUCCAUCCCAAAAUUUUCUUCAGUGUUACUGAUAACUUUGUAUCAGGCAGGCUUGUCAUUUAAUGUAUAUACAUUGCACAUUAUAUAUUUAUUUUAUAUAAAGGUCUACCGGUAUGCAGUUUUUAAAAAUUUUUUGGGGUAUGGUAAAUAUCUUGCAUUCAUUGAACCUCCAAAAAUUAUUUUUCCAUCCUCAUUUGUUUUUCAUUACUUUAUUUUCGAAUCCCUUAAAUAAAGUUUUUAUUCUUAUAUUAUUCAUGAUAUAUUUAUAAAACCUUGAUUUUUUGCAACCAUAUUAUGGUAUGGCAUCGUCGUCUGAAGACUUUUGUUUCCAGGCAAUAACUUUAGUAACUAAAUGGAUCUUUAUGAAAUUGUACCACAUGGUUCCAUACCCCAAAAGGAGGUUGGGUAGGAGUUAUGGCUUAAAAGUUUAUACACAAGGGGCCAAAAACAAUACUUCUUUUCUUGACCAAUAUAACUUUUCUUAUGUUUGUAGGGAAAAUUGGCGGAGUGUAACAUCUAUUAGGAAUAAAAAGAGGAAAUAAGUGUCUGAAGCAGUAAAUCAUUAUGACUGAAAAAAGAAGAUAUCAGAAUAUGAAAUGAGUUUAUUUCAGUUAAAAAGACUUGCUACAGAAUGUUCCUCUUGUAAUUUUAUUGAAGACCAGACCAUUGUCAACUUUAAGUAAAGGAAGAUAAUAAAACAUUGAAGAGGAAAUGAAGGAAAAGACUUAAUCAUCAAAGAGCAUAACAAAGCAUAAUUCAGAAUAACUCAUGUGAAGGAAUAAUAUUGUACAGUAAAAAACAUACAUAACAAAAAACGAUAUUACAAUUUCAUUUUUUGCAAUUGCUGAAUUUUUAUGCUGUACUUUCAAAACUAUGGUUGCAGUACAG